rnacentral:lncRNA from 1 species
CUGAGCCCAGCCUAAAUUCAAUUAUUAAACUCCUUGAGUUAAUUAAAGGGUAGCCAGGUGCGGUGGCUCAUGCCUGUAAUCCCAGCACUUUCAGAGGCCGAGGCAGGAGGAUCGCUUGAGCCCAGGAGUUCCAGACCAGCCUGGACAACAUAGCGAGAUCCUGACUCUACAAAAAACAGAAAAAUUAGCCGGGCGUGGUGGCGCGUGUUUGUAGUCCCAGACACUCCUGAGGUUGAGGUGGGAGGAUCACCUGAGCCCUCGGGAGGUCGAAGCUGCAGUGAGCGGAGAUCGCACCGCUGCACUCCAGCCUGGGGGACAGUGAGGCGGUCUCAAAACAAAACAAAAACAAAAGGGGAGGGCGGGGGGAAGACUUAAAGACCCCUGAGCCAGGGCCAUUAUUAUUUAACUUGGUCGGGUCUCUGAACCAUUCGGAGGAAGCUUGGGUUUCUAUCCUUCCCGACUGAGCCACAGACCUGAGUCUUGACUCCGGAUAAAUCACCCCAGACUGUUUUUCUGUCUGUGACACGGGAACGGCAGCUUCUGCCUCGCGAGGUGGAGAGAGAAUGAGAAGCGCCGUGUGUGGCGCGCCUGACACGGUCAGCUCGCGGGUGGAGGCCCGGAGCAGAACGCCCUCGGGCGCCCGCUCUUGCAGCCGCACUGGAGACCGGGAAUGGCUCCGGCCACGCCUCUGCCGACUGCGGCAACGCGAGGGACAGCUGGUCUCCGGGGUUGCAGCGUAACGCCCUCCUUCCCGGCCUCAUCUUUCCUGACUGCAUAACGGGCAUACAGUGGGUUCCAUGGCGCAAGGGAGCUGAAGAAGCCGCCCGCCCCCAGCUCGCCCGGGAUCCUCACGCCCCUAUAACGCCCCGAGGGGCCACGAUGCUGCCCACAGCCCAGAUCGCGAGUGCGGACCCUGCGGGAGGGUCUGGCCUAGAUGCGAGUUUCCCGCCGCAGACCAGGCGAGGCCACGCGACAUAUCCCCUACCCGCUUACUGCAGGCCGCAGACGGAGACAGUGCAGCCCUGCGCACUGCUGAGGUUGCCCGAGGUCUCAGCCUCGGCGGGUCGGGAACACGCGGCGCGCGCCCGCGCCCCAACCGGAAGUCCGCCACCGGCCGCUCUAGCACGCGCAGGGCUGCGUCUGUGGCCUUAACCCUUCCCAAGGCUGCGCCGCCGGCCUUUGUCUCCGCGGAGCGUCACAAAGGUUGGAAGGGUCGCGGGGCCUCUGGGUGCCGAGCUGCAGAUGCCUCCACUGCGAGCACAGCCCUGAGACAAGGGCCCAGGCGCCCAGCGGGGCUGGUUUCACUCAGUCCAGCCGCACCUACCCGUGCCCUCACCAGAUCUUAAGAUACAGACAUUAAAACCUCCACCGGGCCGCGGCACAGGACAGCAGUUUUACUUUCUGUUUUUGGCAUUGCAUUGCCUCCAUUUCCUAGAGUGCACGUAAUAAAUACCGCUGGUGAUUCCAAAAUAUAAAGGUUGAAAAUAUUUACUUUACAAAAAUUUGGUUCCCAUACUGCUUUUAAGGCCAUCCUCUGCACUUGGUUCCCGCUGCUCCUGAUGUGGUUGAAAGAUGGAUGACCCCAAAGACGAGGAAAAGAUUAUUGGCUCCAUUUUUUAGAUGCGGCAGCCAGCUAAGGUCUAGACAGGGGAAGGGACUUGCCCCAAAUCACAGUUAGAGCAAAUCAGUCUGAAUCAGGAAUAACUCCAUUCCUAUCCCGCAUCCUGCCCUUUCACUACGCCACAGCUGCCUGGCUGCCUGGAGGAACAAAGGAGGGCCGGGCAAGAACGCCAUUACCAACUGCAAAUCCACAGGCAAAUGCAAGAGGACAGAAAAUUUUUGGGGAGACUGAUGCCACAGACUUCGCAUUCUAGAAAUUCCUAAGAAAAGGCUGUCCAUCUCCCUGUGGUGCAUUCACCUGAGUCUCUGAGCCCUGGCAGGGCCCAUCUCUUCUCCACCCAGCAGAGUGAUCCUGGCCUAUGGAAUAUAAUUUAGCAGUAAAAAGGAACAAACUACUGAUUCACACAAUAAUCCGGAUGACCCUCAAGAAUAUUAGCCUGAGUAAAAGAAAACAGAUGCAAAAGAGUUACAUACUGCUUAAUUCUAUUUACAUGAAGUUCCAGAACAGGUUCACCCAAUCCGUUACUUUAAAACAAUCAGGCCAGGUGUGGUGGCUCACGCCUGUAAUCCCAGCACUUUGUGAGGCCAGGAGGAUCCCUUGAGGCCAGGAGUUCCAGACCAGCCUAGGCAACACAGAGAGACUCCCCUUCUCUACAAAAAAAAAAAAAAAAAAAACUGGGCACGGUGGCUCACAUCUGUAAUCCCAGCACUUUGG